rnacentral:tRNA from 1 species
GCUGAAAUAGCUCAGUUGUUAGAGAGUCAGAUUAUAAAUCGAAGGGUCACUGGUUCGAUUUCUGGUUCCAGCA